UUGAUUGCCUCCUAGAGAGUAGCCCGUUGGAGUCAGGGUCAGCAUGAAUUUCUUGCCGAGUUGGGUCAGCAAUCCUCUCCAAAAAGAAAAAAAAAUAUCAAAUCCAGGUAUCUGCCAUAAAGCCAGGUGGUAGUUUGUAUCUAAGUACCAAGCUAAAGCUAUUGCUCUGCAGUUCCACCCCUACACAUACAUAAAGAAUCUGCUAAUUUGUUUGGUGGUAUUCUACGAGGCAAUCUAUUAGUUGGUCGUUUAAUAAAUUGCCGCGUUAUCAAAGUACAUCUUACUGUCAAGUUGUCGAAAUUAAUGGUCAAAGUAGCAUGUUGAAGACUUUGAGAAGUCAAAGAACAGACUGAGUAUUAGAGAAUACAUAACUAUUAAUUCUGUUCGUGAAAGAACGGCUGUUUCAUCAAAACUUAGACAUUUCUUAUUGCCUAAAAGUUUUGUCUCUGAACUGCAACAUUUAGCAGCGGAGACUGCUUCUUGUAUUCAUGAUACUGCAAUAUUUCUUUCUGUUUCCGUUUUACAUGGGGCUUGAAAUGGUGGGAGAACAUCAUUUGAUGUCAUAUGGAUGUAUAUA